AAACUAGGAUUAGAUACCCUAUUUUUAGCAUGUAUAUUGGUAGUAAAUAAAAUUUAUGAAAUCAUAAAAUUUUGGCGGUAUUUUAAGCUUAUUAGAGGAAUUUGCUCUGUAAUGGACACAACGCCUAGAUCUUACUUAAUUUGGUUAAGGCAGUUUGUAUACCACUAUAUUUAAUUAUAUUGAAUAGUUAUAUUUAAAAUUUUUUUAAAAUAAAAAAAUAUAUUAAGAAAAGGUGCAAUAAAUAAUUAU
rnacentral:rRNA from 1 species